rnacentral:lncRNA from 1 species
UUUAUUUGUGUUUUUUUUUAAAUAAGAACUAUGCAUGCAAACUUCAAUGAAUAAAACCGUAUUAAACUAGGUUUCACUGUCCCGAUCAAAACGUGUUGGGUGAGAUAUAUUCGCAAGUUCAAUAUAUUAUAUGAAAACAAACACUUUCAUUUAGUCGUCCGUUAUUCCCUUUUUAUGUCUAAAUGAAGCAUAAACACCUGAAAAAAAACUUUUAUCUUUCUUAGUUUUAUCCUUGCCUGACAAAAAAAAAUCAUAUGUUAUAAAUCGUAUUUAAACAUUAGAUAAGAACAAUAGUAAAAAAAAUAUUUAAAACUUUUGAAUAAGCAGUCAGUUAUGUAAUAAACUGGAGAGACCCCCCCCCCCCCCCAAAAAAAAGAAAAAAAGAAAAAGAAAAC